UACGAAGGGGGCUAGCGUUGUCCGGAAUCAUUGGGCGUAAAGAGCGUGUAGGCGGUCCGGUAAGUCCGCUGUGAAAGUCGGGGGCUCAACCCUGGGAUGCCGGUGGAUACUGUCGGGCUCGAGUCCGGAAGAGGCGAGUGGAAUUCCUGGUGUAGCGGUGAAAUGCGCAGAUAUCAGGAAGAACACCAAUGGCGAAGGCAGCUCUCUGGGACGGUACUGACGCUGAGACGCGAAAGCGUGGGGAGCGAACAGG
rnacentral:rRNA from 1 species